UAUCUGUAGUGUUGGACCCAGACUGGGUUGGUGGUGGUACCUGAGAGCACACCAGACUCGUAGAAAAAGCGUGCUCCACAGGAAGCUGAGGCAUGCUGUUUGACAGCCAGUGGUUCCAUGUGCAGUUUUCCUCUGAUAGGUCCUGGGUACUGUUGCCAUGGUGAUAACGGCUGUGCCGUGUCAUUAUUGAUUCACCAAUAGUCAGAGAAGCUUUGUAGUCAGGAUACCGUUUAGUAGACAGAGUGGUUUCUGAUGGACACUAAUUCCUUCCACAAAA